rnacentral:rRNA from 1 species
CCUACGGGGAGCAGCAGUGAGGAAUAUUGGUCAAUGGGCGCGAGCCUGAACCCGCCAAGUCGCGUGAGGGAAGACGGUCCUAUGGAUUGUAAACCUCUUUUGUCGGGGAGCAAAAGACGCCACGCGUGGCGUUCCGAGAGUACCCGAAGAAAAAGCAUCGGCUAACUCCGUGCCAGCAGCCGCGGUAAUACGGAGGAUGCGAGCGUUAUCCGGAUUUAUUGGGUUUAAAGGGUGCGCAGGCGGAAGAUCAAGUCAGCGGUAAAAUUGAGAGGCUCAACCUCUUCGAGCCGUUGAAACUGGUUGUCUUGAGUGAGUGAGAAGUAUGCGGAAUGCGGGGUGUAGCGGUGAAAUGCAUAGAUAUCACGCAGAACUCCGAUUGCGAAGGCAGCAUACCGGCGCUCAACUGACGCUCAUGCACGAAAGUGUGGGUAUCGAACAGGAUUAGAUACCCGGGUAGUC